CACGUAGGGCGCAAGCGUUGUCCGGAAUUAUUGGGCGUAAAGAGCUCGUAGGCGGUCUGUUACGUCUGCUGUGAAAACCCUGGGCUUAACCCUGGGCUUGCAGUGGAUACGGGCAGACUAGAGGCAGGUAGGGGAGAAUGGAAUUCCCGGUGUAGCGGUGAAAUGCGCAGAUAUCGGGAGGAACACCGGUGGCGAAGGCGACUACCUGGCCUGUUCUUGACGCUGAGGCGCGAAAGCUAGGGGAGCAAACGGG
rnacentral:rRNA from 1 species